CAGAUACUCAUUACAGAUUAUUUCCAAGAUCUUUGGGUGAUGUUCUGUCAACUUAUAAUGUACAAGAAUUGCACUUAACACAAGCACAAGGAUUUUGGAAACACAAGAAGUGGGGGUAUCCUCCAGAAGAUGCACCACCUGGUGUUGAAUUAUGGGUGUGGUUCAAACUUGGAACAUUAAAGUAAGUAAUGACUAAAUGUUAAGGAUGAAAGAUUCUUUGAUAGUUUUAUAUAGAUUAUAGUGGUAUAAUGCUGUGACAUUGUUGGCAUCUGUGUUUUUUAUUUCCAAAGACAUUUUUUAAGGUUUCCAGACAAUUACUUCUGUAAAAGUAUUAUUGAUCUUUAUGACAUUGUACCACAUGGUUCCAUUUAUAACACAAAAGGAAAGUUUGGAUUGAUUUGGUGAGUGAUUGUCCUAAUGGUUAAGGAAUAAAGAGCCAUAAAAGAGGGACGAAAGAUACCAAAGGGACAGUCAAACUCAUAAAUCUAAAACAAACUGACAACGCCAUGGCUAAAAAUAAAAAAGACAAACAGAAAAACAAUAGUACACACGACACAACAUAGAAAACUAAAGAAUAAACAACACGAACCCCACCAAAAACUAGGGGUGAUCUCAGGUGCUCCGGAAGGGUAAGCAGAUCCUGCUCCACAUGUGGCACCCGUCGUGUUGCUUAAGUGAUUACAAAUCCGGUAAAUAGUCUAAUUCGGUAGGUCAUAUUCAUGAAAGGGAAGGGGAUUGUAGUUACGACGUAAGGAAUAUAUCCGAUAUCAUUUGUGAAACGGUUAUUCCAUAACGGUCAACCAACUCGUGAUGGCGUCCGUAAAAUUUACGAAGGGAUGAUUUCAACUUCACCAUUUGAACUUUUGGUUUAAUAGCUUCCUUGUGAGCAGCAAACCUCUAUCAAGAAAAUCAUGAUAGGAAAUGCAAGCACGGGAAUAUCGUAUCAAUUGGGAGAUAUAUACCCCGUAUGCAGGUGCUUCUGGAAUGUUGCUACUUAGAAAUGGAAAGUUCACAAUUGGCAAGCUGAAAUCAUCUCUUUUGUCGUAAAGUUUUGUUUUCAACCGACCCUCAUUGUCAAUUUCUAGAUGUAAGUCAAGAUAUGAAGCCGACUUAACUGUAUCUGUAGUAUCCUUUAUCUCUAGUUCGAUUGGAUAGAUGCGUUCCACAUAGUCACCAAAUUUUGAAUUGUUUAGUGAAAGAACAUCAUCUAUAUAGCGGAAAGUAGAGUUAAAGGAUAUUGCUAACUUCUUAUCUUUCUUCCUAAGAAGUUCCUGCAUGAAGUCAGCCUCAUAAUAAUAAAGAAACAAGUCGGCGAGUAGAGGGGGCACAGUUUGUUCCCAUUGGAAUGCCGACAGUCUGUUGAAAAACACGUCCUCCGAACGUAACAAAUAUGUUGUCAAUCAAGAAAUCAAGCAUCUUGAUAAUAUCAGUUUCAGAGAAUUUUUUGUUUGAAUCAGAGUGAUUCUUUACAAAGUAGGAUUUAUCCCUCCCUAAGACAAGAUACUUGUAUCUACGUUGGCCAUUCUUUUUUAUGAAGCAAAGUAAUAUCAACUCUUUCAAUUUGUCUUUUAGUUUGGAAUGUGGAAUACUGGUGUACAGGGUAGAAAAGUCAAAUGUUUUAAUACUGUUACAAGAUGAAAGAGAGUUAGAUUGUAUGUACU
rnacentral:lncRNA from 1 species